rnacentral:misc_RNA from 1 species
GUGAAGAAUUUAUAUAAUCCGUCUGAAUUUAUUAAAAAGACAGGCAAAUUGGCAUCAAAAUCAAAUACAACAAAUUAGAGCACAUAAAAUUUCACAAAUAUAAUAUGAAAAUGCUAAGUCCACUGAAUUUGUAUUAUGUGUUGAACAUUUAAAGAAGUAAAGGAAUGUUCAAAUUGAAACUCACUAAGUUAACUAUCAUCAAAUUAAUUAUGAAAUUCCAUUCAUGAAGGGUUCUCAUUUCUUCAUUUAUUAGACUCCAUUACAAAUACAUAAAAAUCAAUAAAGGUAAAUUUUGAAGAAUUUAGAUAUUUUGAUUUCAACAAGGAACAAAUAGAAUAUGGAGCUAUAAACAAAGAAAAUUUACCCAACUUUACUGUUUUGUUAAUGUACAUUAUUCAGUGGGAAAACACAGCGAACAGAAGGGGAAGAAAAGAAGAAAUUACCUCCAUCUCAAUAAUGUUUGCUAU